ACUGCCAUAUCUUGUGUGACUCCGCAUACCACCUUUCCCCCAGGCAAGCCUUUCUGAAGGGCCAACAAGCCCAGCAGAAGACCCCAUGGAUUCCCUAUUCACUUCUGAGUCAUUUUCAUCACCACCUCUGUCUGCGAUAGCAGCUGCUGACCGAGAACCUCCCCAUCUCUUGAAUCUUUUUGGUUUAACUUCUGCACUGUGUUCCUCAGCAGAUGAUGAAUCUUUGCACCCAUCGCCAUUUGCAUCCUCAUUGUCAUCAGAUCCUUGAAUAUCAGCUGCUCGACAAUUUCUCCUCCCUCUUGAGUGGGCAUCUUGGUGACGGCCUUGUUUUCUCCUAGAAAAUGCAGCAACUGUGGCUUUAGCUGUUGUGCGUUUCCGACCAAGAGCUUCGGCUUGCCGGCGAAAAGUCUGGGCAAUAGAAGCUUGGAUCUGAUUAUUGCGAGCCUUCUCCUCCUCAUGAAA
rnacentral:misc_RNA from 1 species